rnacentral:rRNA from 1 species
CCUACGGGAGGCAGCAGUGGGGAAUAUUGGGCAAUGGAGGAAACUCUGACCCAGCGACGCCGCGUGCGGGAUGAAGGCCUUCGGGUUGUAAACCGCUUUCAGUAGGGAAGAAGCGAAAGUGACGGUACCUACAAAAGAAGCACCGGCUAACUAUGUGCCAGCAGCCGCGGUAAUACAUAGGGUGCAAGCGUUGUCCGGAAUUAUUGGGCGUAAAGAGCUCGUAGGUCGUUUGUUACGUCGGAUGUGAAAACCUGAGGCUCAACCUCAGGCCUGCAUUCGAUACGGGCAAACUAGAGUUUGGUAGGGGAGACUGGAAUUCCUGGUGUAGCGGUGGAAUGCGCAGAUAUCAGGAGGAACACCAAUGGCGAAGGCAGGUCUCUGGGCCAAUACUGACACUGAGGAGCGAAAGUCUGGGGAGCGAACAGGAUUAGAUACCCUGGUAGUCCAGACCGUAAACGGUGGGCACUAGUUGUGGGAACCUUCCACGGUUUCUGCGACGCAGCUAACGCAUAAGUGCCCGCCUGGGGAUCGAUCGCAGNUAAACC